GCCCAGGCUGCCUUGGUCAGCAGGGCAUGAGACUUUUAAUCUCAGGGUUGUGGGUUCAAGCCCCACCUUGGGCA
rnacentral:tRNA from 1 species